rnacentral:rRNA from 1 species
UACGAAGGGGGCUAGCGUUGCUCGGAAUCACUGGGCGUAAAGGGUGCGUAGGCGGGUCUUUAAGUCAGGGGUGAAAUCCUGGAGCUCAACUCCAGAACUGCCUUUGAUACUGAAGAUCUUGAGUUCGGGAGAGGUGAGUGGAACUGCGAGUGUAGAGGUGAAAUUUCGUAGAUAUUCGCAAGAACACCAGUGGCGAAGGCGGCUCACUGGCCCGAUACUGACGCUGAGGCACGGAAA